GACGAACGCUGGCGGCGUGCUUAACACAUGCAAGUCGAACGGGAGUAUUGAAGAAGCUUGCUUUAGAGAUACUUUAGUGGCGGACGGGUGAGUAACGCGUGAGGAGCUGUCCUAUGCAGGGGGACAACAGUUGGAAACGACUGCUAAUACCCCAUAAGCCGAGAGGUAAAAGGAUUUAUCCGGCAAUGGAGGUACUCGCGUCCUAUCAGCUAGUAGGUGAGGUAACGGCUCACCUAGGCGAAGACGGGUAGCCGGCCUGAGAGGGCGAACGGCCACACUGGAACUGAGAUACGGUCCAGACUCCUACGGGAGGCAGCAGUGGGGAAUAUUGGGCAAUGGGGGGAACCCUGACCCAGCGACGCCGCGUGGGUGAAGAAAUCCUUCGGGAUGUAAAGCCCUGUUGUAUGGGAAGAGCGGAAGACGGUACCAUACGAGGAAGCCCCGGCAAACUACGUG
rnacentral:rRNA from 1 species